UGGGGUGUCGCCAAGCGGUUAAGGUCCAGGAUUUUGACUCCUGUAUGCGCUGGUUCAAAUCCAGCCACCCCAG
rnacentral:tRNA from 1 species